rnacentral:misc_RNA from 1 species
CGUGUGAAGGGAUGGGGGUGAAAUUUCUGUUACCGUUAUCUGUUUUCUGUAUAAGAAAAGUGAUUUUUUUUUAAUAAAUAUCUUAUCUUAUAUGGGUUCUCUUAGCUUUGUCCAUAUGAUAAUUUGGGUUGUAACUUCUUUUGUGUAACUUCUUUCAUGAAUUCAUUUUGUGGUUUGGUCUUUUUCGUUUUCCAGAUUGAUGAGCAUGUGCAGAGAG